CCUACGGGAGGCAGCAAUGAGGAAUAUUGGUCAAUGGACGAGAGUCUGAACCAGCCAAGUAGCGUGAAGGAUGACUGCCCUAUGGGUUGUAAACUUCUUUUAUAUGGGAAUAAAAUGUUCCACGUGUGGGAUUUUGUAUGUACCAUAUGAAUAAGGAUCGGCUAACUCCGUGCCAGCAGCCGCGGUAAUACGGAGGAUCCGAGCGUUAUCCGGAUUUAUUGGGUUUAAAGGGAGCGUAGGUGGAUUGUUAAGUCAGUUGUGAAAGUUUGCGGCUCAACCGUAAAAUUGCAGUUGAAACUGGCAGUCUUGAGUACAGUAGAGGUGGGCGGAAUUCGUGGUGUAGCGGUGAAAUGCUUAGAUAUCACGAAGAACUCCGAUUGCGAAGGCAGUUCACUGGACUGCAACUGACACUGAGGCUCGAAAGUGUGGGUAUCAAACAGGAUUAGAUACCCGUGUAGUC
rnacentral:rRNA from 1 species